rnacentral:rRNA from 1 species
GAUGAACGCUGGCGGCGUGCUUAACACAUGCAAGUCGAACGAUGAAGCCCAGCUUGCUGGGUGGAUUAGUGGCGAACGGGUGAGUAACACGUGAGUAACCUGCCCUUAACUCUGGGAUAAGCCUGGGAAACUGGGUCUAAUACCGGAUAGGAGCGUCCACCGCAUGGUGGGUGUUGGAAAGAUUUAUCGGUUUUGGAUGAACUCGCGGCCUAUCAGCUUGUUGGUGAGGUAAUGGCUCACCAAGGCGACGACGGGUAGCCGGCCUGAGAGGGUGACCGGCCACACUGGGACUGAGACACGGCCCAGACUCCUACGGGAGGCAGCAGUGGGGAAUAUUGCACAAUGGGCGCAAGCCUGAUGCAGCGACGCCGCGUGAGGGAUGACGGCCUUCGGGUUGUAAACCUCUUUCAGUAGGGAAGAAGCGAAAGUGACGGUACCUGCAGAAGAAGCACCGGCUAACUACGUG